CAUUCUGUUGCCAGGGUAGAUUUUCCCCUGUGCCUAUGUAUUAUUGGAUUCUACCAUUACAGUGUUUUUGCCAGGGAUGAGAGCUUCCCCUGUGCCUGUUUUCGUGGAUCGCUAUUUGAGCACAUUUGUGUGUCCACAAAGGAAUAAAACUCUGUAUUCGGUGAUUACCCUCCUGCGCCUGACUCCUUCCAUCACGAUCAUCACACUGCCAGAAGUUUGAGAGGGCGAAGACUGUGGCACCGGAGUUGAAGCCCAUCAAUGUUGUUUCACCAUGGCACAUGAUUGGGGUGGACCUCAUCGAACCCUUCAUGAAAUCCAGGAAUGGCAACAGCUGGUGUCUGAAGGCGACCGAUCACUUUACCAAGUGAGUGGAGGCAAUACCCAUUAAGGUCAGUAAAGGAAGAGUACGUGCUUAACUCUAAAUUACCUUCUGUAACCCAUUAAAAAGGGCGCUUGGAACCAAAAAUAGAUUUUGUUUUGUAUGAUACCCAUCAAGGACGGGACUGGCGAGGCCACCUCCAAGGUGAUGAUGGACAUCUUCAACACCCACGGUUCUCCUGAGGUCAUCUUGAGUGACCGAGGUCAUGAACGCUGGAACAAGGUUUGAUGAAUGGACCAACCAGACCCUCAAGACUGCCAUGGGCAAGUCCCUUGAUUGGUACCAGAAAGGGUGGGA